rnacentral:rRNA from 1 species
GAUGAACGCUGGCGGCGUGCCUAAUACAUGCAAGUCGAGCGAACAGACGAGGAGCUUGCUCCUCUGACGUUAGCGGCGGACGGGUGAGUAACACGUGGAUAACCUACCUAUAAGACUGGGAUAACUUCGGGAAACCGGCGCUAAUACCGGAUAAUAUAUUGAACCGCAUGGUUCAAUAGUGAAAGACGGUUUUGCUGUCACUUAUAGAUGGAUCCGCGCCGCAUUAGCUAGUUGGUAAGGUAACGGCUUACCAAGGCAACGAUGCGUAGCCGACCUGAGAGGGUGAUCGGCCACACAGGAACUGAGACACGGUCCAGACUCCUACGGGAGGCAGCAGUAGGGAAUCUUGCGAAAUGGGCGAAAGCCUGACGGAGCAACGGCGCGUGAGUGAUGAAGGUCUUCGGAUCGUAAAACUCUGUUAUGAGGGAAGAACAAAUGUGUAGUAACUAUGCACGUCUUGACGGUACCUAAUCAGAAAGCCACGGCUAACUACGUG